AUUCCUAUAGUACAUUUAAUAAUGGGAAAAUGAUAUCAAAAUAAUAUCCAGAAAAAUGUAUAUUCUUGUAUAUUUUUUGUAUAUAUACAUUCUGCAUAUUAUAUACAAAAAUCAUACAAAUUUUAUACACUUUUCGGCUAUCGAAUGUACAUAAUUUCUGGGCGCGGGCUAAAAGUGAAAAAAACCCUUUAAUAAUGUGCAAAUCUUAGUUGAUAAUUUAAAGUAGAGUCUUAACUUCUAUACGUAAAAGAAUUUUUAGACAAUUAGUUAGGUCGAAAAUAAUAUAAGUACAAUGUAACUGUACUUAAUAAGUGGAACUAGUUAUCUAAAAGGUCAAAUAGUAACAUGUUACGACAUUUUAAAUUAUACUAAUAGUGUGAAAAUUAUAUUUGCAGAAGAUGCUGUAGUUGCGGAAAAAGAUGAUCAUGCAGUGGCUGGUAACAGAGAUGACGGUUAUGGUUACGGCUAUGGUGGACAAGGUGGUUACGGCUAUGGCUGGGGAGGCGGCGGCUAUGGUGGACGUGGCGGUGGCAGCUGGGGAGGACGUGGAGGCGGCGGCUGGGGAGGUGGCGGCUGCCGAUAUGGUUGCUGUGGACACAGUAGAUAUGGAGGCUGUAGGUGUUGUUACUCAGCUGCA
rnacentral:lncRNA from 1 species